GAGAGUAUAGCUCAGUGGUAGAGAGCAUGCCUGGCAUGCAUGAGGUCCUGGGCUCAAUCCCCAGUACCUGCA
rnacentral:tRNA from 1 species